rnacentral:rRNA from 1 species
UUUGAACCCUAUAAAAGGUAACGCCUGCCCAGUGACUUUAUGUUUAACGGCCGCGGUACUCUGACCGUGCAAAGGUAGCGUAAUCACUUGUCUUUUAAAUAAGGACUAGUAUGAAUGGCAUCACGAGGGCUUAGCUGUCUCCCUCAUCUAAUCAGUGAAACUGAUCCCCCUGUGAAAAAGCAGGGAUAAACACAUAAGACGAGAAGACCCUAUGGAGCUUUAAACCAAAAACUACCUGUUUAAUCUACUAUACUAAAAAUAAUACUAAAAUAACUGAUCUAGCUUAGGUUUUCAGUUGGGGUGACUGUGGAGAAAAAUAAAUCCUCCACGCAGACUUAAGCUUUGAGCAACCGCUCUUCGCAUUAGCAAGUCUAACUGCACUUGAUCCAAUAUUUUUGAUCAACGGACCAAGUUACCCUAGGGAUAACAGCGCAAUCCAUUUCAAGAGUCCAUAUCGACAAAUGGGUUUACGACCUCGAUGUUGGAUUAGGACACCCAAGUGGUGCAGCCGCUACUUAAGGUUCGUUUGUUC